GUGUGUUGGGGCUUGAGAAUUGGCUCUCCUGCCUCCUCAUUUCCAGUCUUUAAACAGGGAUCUGCACAGCAGCAGGCAGCAGAAGUAGGCAGCGCUCUGGAAAUACAAUUGGCAAAAGCUCUCUCCCUUAAAACUAACAGGGAGAGAGCUAACUCCGUGACUGGCAUGACAUCUGUGAACAAAGGAAGUGACAGGGCCACCAAGAACUGCUGUGCUUUCCCUGCUGAGAACUUUACCCAUUGCCUAGUGAGAAGGAACUGGAGAUGCCAUCAGAGCUGCAUCGUAGUUAUGCUGGUAGAUUUCAAUUUUUACAAUUUAUAUUUGUUAUGAAUGUAUUCACCAUUCCUUAGAGUAUGUUUAAUUAUCCUCAGUCUUUGUUCUGCUUUUAAAAUCCACAUUGAAAAGGCAAAGUAACAUGUGCUUAAGAGGUCUUUAAUAAAUACUUUGGUCAAGAACAGGGAGGGGGUAGUUUAAUUCCUCCUAAUUAGACCCGCCCACCUCCCAGCCAUCCGAAAUUUAAAUUUAAAUUUAAGUAAAAGUCAGUAUGCUUUCUAAAUAAAUGCAGUUUCACAACAAAACCUUUAGCCCACGCUCAAGCAACUAUAUGGCUGCCCCUAAUUCCUCCUCUAUUGACAUUCAGGAGCUGCCAGGGUUUCUGUAAAAGUACCUGAACACAGUGGAUCAACCAACAGUGGCUCUGGGGUUUAGAGUUUUGAGCAGCAGCUCAGAAUGAUACCCAUCUGCCUUUCUGAAUCACAGCCAACUUCUGGCCUCUCUGCACAGAUUUGGUGCAGGAAACUAGCCAUACCCACGCCCACAGCUCGCCCCGUGCCUCCUUCAUCUUCAUAAUUCUGCUCCCACCCUCUUCCCUCUUCCUUGCCCUUCAAGUUGCAACACUGAACUGAGUUUACGGAUGAUGCUCAACAAUUUAUUGUUGAUUAACUGAUUGAUUGAUUCUGUUGCUAUGGAAACCAUCAGAUUCUAGUGCAACAGUGGGAUUCCUUCCUGACUUUAUGCUUGACAAAAUGCUGACUCUCUGUGCUUGCUUCUCCCAGCUUGCCACCUCCAUCUGGGUCAGGAGGAGCAAUCGGAAGCAGAAGCUCCAAGAGAAAGGUGGGAAUGUUGGUCAACCCAGGUGAAAAAAAGCAACAAGGAGGGUUGCUAGGAGAAAUGAAUGAAAUGAUGCAAGUAAGGUAGAAAGCAGAGUGCUUUUUACAAGCCAAGAAGUGGCCCCCCACAGAUACCAAGCUCUGGACCUCCUGGUGCCUUGAUUUUGGACUUCCCAGCCUUUUUCAGACCUGUGAGAAAGGUCCGCCGCAUCUUGGAAGGAAACUUCAAAGCUCAUUUAAAGUCAGCCCCUCACAUAGCCCUGCUGGUCUAACUUUCUUCUGAAUGUGAUUUCAGAAGUAAAACCAGGCCAGGGGCUGGGACUCAGGAGAGACAAAUACCAAGGAGAUAUCAGGAAGAAUAUUGUCCCCGGUAAAUACCAAGUCACAUCAGGAAGAAUACUGUGGAGAGAGAGGUAAAGAAUCAGGAUGGAAACAGAAAAUAGGCCGAACAAUGGCCAAGCGUCAAAAUCCUACGUCAGGACAGUGCUAGGACUGCUUUUUUCUAUAUCAGACACGUGGGCUCCUGCUGUGUCUUCCUGGAAAGCAGAGGCCAAGGAUGGAGCAGACCAAGAGGAUGCCAGGAAAAAUCACAAAGAAGCCCAGAAAGCACAGCUGGAAGCCAAGAACCCUGUUUUUGGUUUGUGUGGGUGGAAGGUGAGGGACAACAUAUAGUGACCAACAGGAUUCUUCAUUUGAAAGAGAAUGGAGUACAUCAGACCUGUGUAUUUAGGUGAAGUAUGAUAAACAUCAUCAUACUUCAAAGAUUAUGAACAUCAAAGAUUAUGGAAAGGAACAUGACUGCUUAGUUUAUUCCAUUACCAGUGAUCUGCUUGUUUGUUCAUUUGCUUACCCAUCCAUUCAUUUAUUCAUUCAUUCCUCCAUCCAUUCUCUUUCACUUAUUCUACAAUCAUGAUUGUAUGCCUACCAUAUCGCUAGAGAGAGGGCAGGAAAAGAUCCAAGGAUGUGAAUACAAUCUUCUGCUUCAUGAUGAGAGCUAAAGGAAUCUGUAAAGACUUUGUCUUUUUCAUUUUUCUCUCUCCUACACAGACCCUGGCAAAUGUUUUAUUUCUUAUAAUUUGCCUGAGGUUUACUCAUCCACUACCAGAGCUCUGAAAACACUCUUCAGAACACUAUUUUAAAAUAAUGACAAUGACAAUAAUAGAUAACAUAUAUUCAGUGUUUUUUGUAUGUGAAGCAAUGUAAUAACCAUUUAAAAUGAUUGUAACUAUACUUUGUAAGAGUAUGAUGAAACAGGCACUAUUAAAAUGCUAGUUUUUCACACAGCUAGUAUGAGAGAGAGCUGGGAUUUGGAUACAGGCAGUCUAGCUGCAGAGCCUCCAUUCAUGGCCAUUAUAUGGUCUGUCUAAUGAAUGAAAUGUUUGACCUUAGAGAAAACUUGAAAUGCACAGUUUUCUUUGCUGACUUGAAUGAUAUAAGUUUAAAAAUCCGAUAGUGGUUGCUAGUUGAAAAUUCCUAUUCCUUGGGAAACUGUUGAAAGUCUGUUUAGUACUAACCCCCCUCAUUAAUGGCCAUUUGCAAAGCCAGGCCAAGUGUAGUCUUCUACCAGCACUGAAGAAACACAUUUUACCCAGAAGAAAUGAGGGUGAAAUCCUCUGAUAACUGGAAGAUGCUGGAUGUUCUGGAAAGAAAAGUAAUUUUUUUUUCAAUCUCUGGAAAUUGCUUUUUUUUGUUUUAAGUAAGGGUGGCUCAGUAGAUGCUAACAGAGAAGCUGGGAUCAGCUAAUCUGGAGAAGAUUCUGAGAGAAUGAGUUGGGGAAGCUCACACUGAGAAAAUGAGAAGAAGAUUGGUAGGAAGGGCGGUUUCUUGCUGUGUCCAAGAACAGGAAUUGAGAAAUGGUAUUAAGCUGAAGGUGAGAGGGGAACAAAGAAGACUUUGAAAGUUGCAUACAGGUUUGAAACAAAGUAUACCACAAGGAAUGGGAACAUGUAGAGCUGUUUUAAAAAUGUUUCUGUGUUUGUGUGAGUGCGUGUACUAGAUAUAUUUUUAAAAUGACUUUUCUCGGAAUUACAUCAUACUUUGAAGAUCAGCAUAGGAAGUGAAGAAGGAACAAAUAUUCACUGAGAGCAUUCACUAAGGGCCAGGAGCUCCCUGAAUACCACAUAUGCCACCGCUCUCUCUUGUGAUCCUGAAGGUUUGUGAGGCAGUUAUCACUGUGUAUGAUAUAUUUUCAAAGAAAGCAAAUAAAACCCAAUGUGACUAAGAAAGAUGCUAAAGUCAUACAGCUAAUUAGCUGUGGGUCCAGGAUUCAAACCAGUGCACCCAGCACAUGGUCUUCAAUAAAUAUUUAUUGAGCAAUGAAUACAUGAAUGAGUAAAUAAGAUGAAGCAAGCAAGCAAGCAGGUAGGCUUGUCUAACCCAAGUGUUCAUGUUCUAUCCUCUGUACGGGUGGUUUUUAAAUUGUGUGCCACAAAGGCCUUGGGUAACAUGAGGAGGGUUAGUAUGAGUGGCUGUCUAGCAGCAUGGGGCCCCAGGCUCCCUAUCUCUACUCCAACCAGGGCAUCUCUGCUUCUGUUUGUGUUAAACAUUGGGCUUUUGCCUGAGGUUUCAUUUGAAGAAGAGGGCCUUCUUCUAGAAAGUGUUUAUUACUCCUGCCCCAUGCCAUGUUCCCUCCUAAGUAUGCACUAUGAACUAGUUGAGUUUAAUAAAGACAUAUAUUAAUGUAAAGUUGGAAUUUAUACCAGUGUCUGAAUUCCAGUAGCAGCCCCCAUAUCUUGGUAAUUGAAAUCCAACUGUUUCUAAUAUCCUGCAUGCUGCUGAGGCCAUUAACAAUAGAUGAGCCAUCUAGGGCAUUAUGGCUAGCAGCCGGGACUACAACUUCAAGCUGUCUAGGUUCAACUGUGGCUCUGCCAUGACCUGGUGAAAUUUCAGGUAAAUGAUUCGACCUCUCCAUGCUUUAGCUUCCUCAUCUGUGAAAUGUGAUAGCUACCUUAUACAGCAUGGAAACUUUGUGCUCCAGUAAUAUGAAUGGGCUCACUAUAGCCAAGUGCACUUAGUUCCCUUGAUCUCACGUUUUUGUUUAUGCUGGCUCCCAACUUAAUGUGGUCUUCUCACUUUUCAUCUGACUGUGAAAACUCCAACCAAAGGUACUUAUAUUCCUCCCACUCAAUAAAUAUGAUGGCUUUGGUGUCAGUAAGGCAACAUGUGAAGAGAGAUAUCAGUCUGGCUUGCCAUACAUUACAAGAAUUUGCAGGCUUACCCUGACAGUCCUAGUCCAUGGGAGUGGGUGAUGGGGUACUAUUGUGUCACUGUCCGGGGUCCUGAAUAAUUAAAGAGCGCACAGUGGCUUUUACAAGAAUACUAAGAAUUAUUUAUUUGUUAAGGUAACACUAUCUGCUGUAGUAGGUAACCCUCUCUACCCCCAAAUCUGAGUAGCUUACCAUAUUAGAAGUCUUUUCCUGUUCUCAUAGGGUUCCAUUGGUGCUGGGGGUGAGGAGGGGAGGUGGUAAAGGGGUUUGUUCCACACAACCAUUCAGAGAUUCAUAUUGAUGAAGAUGGCCAUCUUCAACAUAUAGUUUCCAGAGUUGUUCUGGGCUCAGUAUUUAGACUCCAGGUGGUAUAUCAGAGGAGAGAAGGAGAGUAGAGAACUGUGUGGCAGAUUUUUAUGAACCAGAUCUAGAAGGGACAUUCAUCACUGUCACUGUUAAUUAAAACUCGGGCAUACAACCAUUCCUAAGAAUAAAAGAGGCAGUGGGAUGUUGCUUAUUUGUGAGUUCAUUGGAAAAUCACUAGCUUGUUUUUGCCACAAAAUAUUUUUUAUGUUGUUACCCAUUACCCCCCCACCGAGACACACACACACACUCAACACAAAUACAACUAGAGCAAAAAAUUCAUUAAAUAAUCCUCUGUGUGUGA